GGCACUACGGUGCUGAAGCAACAAAUGCCCUGCUUCCAGGAAAAGCCUCUAAGCAUCAGGUAACAUCAAAUCGUACCCCAAACCGACACAGGUGGUCAGGUAGAGAAUACCAAGGCGCUUGAGAGAACUCGGGUGAAGGAACUAGGCAAAAUGGUGCCGUAACUUCGGGAGAAGGCACGCUGAUAUGUAGGUGAAGUCCCUCGCGGAUGGAGCUGAAAUCAGUCGAAGAUACCAGCUGGCUGCAACUGUUUAUUAAAAACACAGCACUGUGCAAACACGAAAGUGGACGUAUACGGUGUGACGCCUGCCCGGUGCCGGAAGGUUAAUUGAUGGGGUCAGCGCAAGCGAAGCUCUUGAUCGAAGCCCCGGUAAACGGCGGCCGUAACUAUAACGGUCCUAAGGUAGCGAAAUUCCUUGUCGGGUAAGUUCCGACCUGCACGAAUGGCGUAAUGAUGGCCAGGCUGUCUCCACCCGAGACUCAGUGAAAUUGAACUCGCUGUGAAGAUGCAGUGUACCCGCGGCAAGACGGAAAGACCCCGUGAACCUUUACUAUAGCUUGACACUGAACAUUGAGCCUUGAUGUGUAGGAUAGGUGGGAGGCUUGGAAGUGUGGACGCCAGUCUGCAUGGAGCCGACCUUGAAAUACCACCCUUUAAUGUUUGAUGUUCUAACGUUGACCCGUAAUCCGGGUUGCGGACAGUGUCUGGUGGGUAGUUUGACUGGGGCGGUCUCCUCCUAAAGAGUAACGGAGGAGCACGAAGGUUGGCUAAUCCUGGUCGGACAUCAGGAGGUUAGUGCAAUGGCAUAAGCCAGCUUGACUGCGAGCGUGACGGCGCGAGCAGGUGCGAAAGCAGGUCAUAGUGAUCCGGUGGUUCUGAAUGGAAGGGCCAUCGCUCAACGGAUAAAAGGUACUCCGGGGAUAACAGGCUGAUACCGCCCAAGAGUUCAUAUCGACGGCGGUGUUUGGCACCUCGAUGUCGGCUCAUCACAUCCUGGGGCUGAAGUAGGUCCCAAGGGUAUGGCUGUUCGCCAUUUAAAGUGGUACGCGAGCUGGGUUUAGAACGUCGUGAGACAGUUCGGUCCCUAUCUGCCGUGGGCGCUGGAGAACUGAGGGGGGCUGCUCCUAGUACGAGAGGACCGGAGUGGACGCAUCACUGGUGUUCGGGUUGUCAUGCCAAUGGCACUGCCCGGUAGCUAAAUGCGGAAGAGAUAAGUGCUGAAAGCAUCUAAGCACGAAACUUGCC
rnacentral:rRNA from 1 species